rnacentral:rRNA from 1 species
GCCAACGUCCAUACCACGUUGAAAACACCGGUUCUCGUCCGAUCACCGAAGUGAAGCAACGUCGGGCGCGGUCAGUACUUGGAUGGGUGACCGCCUGGGAACACCGCGUGACGUUGGCU